rnacentral:rRNA from 1 species
UGUCCUACGGGGCGCAGCAGUGAGGAAUAUUGGUCAAUGGGCGAGAGCCUGAACCAGCCAAGUCGCGUGAGGGAAGACGGUCCUAUGGAUUGUAAACCUCUUUUGCCGGGGAGCAAAAAGCGGUACGUGUACCGCAUCGAGAGUACCCGGAGAAAAAGCAUCGGCUAACUCCGUGCCAGCAGCCGCGGUAAUACGGAGGACGCGAGCGUUAUCCGGAUUUAUUGGGUUUAAAGGGUGCGUAGGCGGGACGGUAAGUCAGCGGUAAAAAUGCGGAGCUCAACUCCGUCGAGCCGUUGAAACUGCCG